CCGAUGCGAUAAGUUUGUUAAAGUGAGUAAAUCGCAUCGGUUCAGUUUGAAUUGGUGCGAAAACUGUUGUAAAAUAAAAAAAUAAAACGGUUUUUCUUUCUUUCUCAGCUCUUUCAUUUCAGCUCUUUGUUUCUCUUUCAAUUCCACAAUUAUUCCUCCUCUCUCUCUCCUUCAUUGAAGCGUACUGGUCUGCCGCUCUCUCCUUUCCUUUCUUCUCUCUUUCGAUCUCCUUCUCCUUCUCCAUAACCAAGCACAACCUUGAGGAAGAAGAAAAAGAAGAGUAAUAUUGAGUGUCGUGAUGUUUCCGCCACGCCUUUCGGUUCUUGCUCGGUGCCGCUGCCUCCUCCAUCAAGAUUUGAGGGUGUUUGAUGCGGCUCCUCUGUUGUUGUGCUCCGUUGCGGUGGAAGCUGCUCUUAGGUUAGAUGGUGGAGGUUGUUGUUGUUGUUUUAGGGUUGUCGAAUCUUGGCUUCUCCUUCUUCUCCUCAUUCGAUGAUGUUGCUUGGUUUUUGAUGUCGAAUCUUAUCACCAUCAUUAUACUGAUGACUUUUCUAGGACUGAUGAAAAACCCAGAUUAAAACCUACUAAUACUGCUAAAGACUUGUUUGGUGGGAGGGACCUUUUUGGUAAAAUUAGCGAUUUCUAUAAUGAGUUAAAGAAGAUUACCAGAGUUAGGGACAAAGAGGAUGAGAGCCCUGAGGAAGAGGAGGAUCAAUUGUCACUGCACCAAGGAAGAGGUUAAAUCUGAAGGUGCACUCAAAACCAAUGCCAGACCCAAGCUCAAGAGAAACAUGAGAGAUGAUGAAGUAGAGAAUAUCCCUAUUUCUCUGAAUUUGAACAAUGUUAAGCGCGAGGCUAAGGUAUCGCCCAUACGAACGAAUCCUCCUACACCUUAGGGAUUUUCAGCCACUCGUGAUCCUAUCAAGGCCACACCUUCAAAGGGAACAAAGUCUAAGCUCAUGGUAUGGAUCAAAGUUCUUUUAAUGAUGCCAAUUUUUUGAAUAUGAUCAUUUGCUUCACCUUACAAAUUGUAUUCUCAAUGCUAGUAUAUUCUUUCUUGUCAAGUUGUGGGAUUAAUUCCAAGUUGUUACUUGAAAUUGCACAUUACUAAAUAAACCAAACUAUACUAGGCCAAUAUUCAGCAGUAAAUUGAUGAGAAUCAGUGUAUUGGACCUCAAUCUUAACAUAUUAUCAUGCUAUAUCUUUUUAUUUUUUCAGAAAUGAAAUAUAGAUUUGCAUGCUUCAAAGUUGUGUUCAAAAGAGUGUAUCACUCUCAAUUUUGCGCUACAAUAAAUUUGGGGGUGGGGGGGGAACUCUGGCAUGCAUAUAUUAGCUUAGGAAUGUUACCUAGACCUAUAUUUUGUUGGUUUUCUGCUAAUUGUAUCAUAUACAAUAAACGAUUUUAUGCUCUUCCAUUUUAACAAAUGAAAUUUCAGUUAGUUGCUUCAAGGGUUGUUGAAGAAAUGGGUGUUAAACUUGGAGAGGAGGUUGGAUAUGUAAUCAGAUUUGAGGAUGUGACAACUCCGAUAAGACCCUUUCACUGGCCAAUUUCUAUUUCUUACUCUCAUUCAUGUGCAUAAUUUUUAACUUGCAUUACAUGCAAUUUGUGCAGUGUGUUUUACUUGUAUGUAAUCGUUGUGGAAUGAUAUUGUUUUGCAAGCACAGGGUGUUACCAAAAUUAAGUUUCUUACUGAUGGAGUGUUGUUGAGGGAAAUGAUGGAUGAUCUUCUUCGUCCAAGUACAGAUGACCACGGCUAUUGCAAUUGAGGAUGUUAGAAGGGAGGUAAAAAUCUUGAAAGGUCUGGCCGGACAUCCCAAGCUCAUAAAAAUUUACGACGCAUAUGAAGACAACGAAAAUGUUUACAUUGUGAUGGACUAAGUUCAAUGUUGAAGACCGAGCACUGGUUUCACGAAUAUUUCAUCAAUGGGCCAAGAAAAAGGCUUUUCAAGAUCCUAAGAGGCUACUUGACUAGGUGGAGUACCUUCCAGUUGUACGCCCUUUGCAAAGUAAAAAAAGAAAAUGUGCCUUUUUUUUUUUCAAUUUUUUAAAGUUUAAUAUUACAAGUUAUUGAAGAAAAUAUGUGUUUUAUGUAUAUUAUGAUUAUAUAU